rnacentral:rRNA from 1 species
UACAGAGGUCUCAAGCGUUGUUCGGAUUCAUUGGGCGUAAAGGGUGCGUAGGUGGCGCCGUAAGUCGGGUGUGAAAUUUCGGAGCUUAACUCCGAAACUGCAUUCGAUACUGCGGUGCUUGAGGACUGGAGAGGAGACUGGAAUUCAUGGUGUAGCAGUGAAAUGCGUAUAGAUCAUGAGGAAGACCAGUGGCGAAGGCGGGUCUCUGGACAGUUCCUGACACUGAGGCACGAAGGCCAGGGGAGCAAACGGG